GUCCCAUCCCGAACCCGGAAGUUAAGGCUCUUAGCGCCGAUGGUACUGCACUGGCGACGGUGUGGGAGAGUAGGUCAUCGCCGAAU
rnacentral:rRNA from 1 species